GUAUGAACGCUGGCGGCGUGCCUAAUACAUGCAAGUCGAACGAGUUCUUGUUGAUGAUCGGUGCUUGCACCAAGAUUCAACAUGGAACGAGUGGCGGACGGGUGAGUAACACGUGGGUAACCUGCCCUUAAGUGGGGGAUAACAUUUGGAAACAGAUGCUAAUACCGCAUAGAUCCAAGAACCGCAUGGUUCUUGGCUGAAAGAUGGCGUAAGCUAUCGCUUUUGGAUGGACCCGCGGCGUAUUAGCUAGUUGGUGAGGUAAUGGCUCACCAAGGCGAUGAUACGUAGCCGAACUGAGAGGUUGAUCGGCCACAUUGGGACUGAGACACGGCCCAAACUCCUACGGGAGGCAGCAGUAGGGAAUCUUCCACAAUGGACGCAAGUCUGAUGGAGCAACGCCGCGUGAGUGAAGAAGGCUUUCGGGUCGUAAAACUCUGUUGUUGGAGAAGAAUGGUCGGCAGAGUAACUGUUGUCGGCGUGACGGUAUCCAACCAGAAAGCCACGGCUAACUACGUGCCAGCAGCCGCGGUAAUACGUAGGUGGCAAGCGUUAUCCGGAUUUAUUGGGCGUAAAGCGAGCGCAGGCGGUUUUUUAAGUCUGAUGUGAAAGCCCUCGGCUUAACCGAGGAAGCGCAUCGGAAACUGGGAAACUUGAGUGCAGAAGAGGACAGUGGAACUCCAUGUGUAGCGGUGAAAUGCGUAGAUAUAUGGAAGAACACCAGUGGCGAAGGCGGCUGUCUGGUCUGUAACUGACGCUGAGGCUCGAAAGCAUGGGUAGCGAACAGGAUUAGAUACCCUGGUAGUCCAUGCCGUAAACGAUGAAUGCUAGGUGUUGGAGGGUUUCCGCCCUUCAGUGCCGCAGCUAACGCAUUAAGCAUUCCGCCUGGGGAGUACGACCGCAAGGUUGAAACUCAAAGGAAUUGACGGGGGCCCGCACAAGCGGUGGAGCAUGUGGUUUAAUUCGAAGCAACGCGAAGAACCUUACCAGGUCUUGACAUCUUUUGAUCACCUGAGAGAUCAGGUUUCCCCUUCGGGGGCAAAAUGACAGGUGGUGCAUGGUUGUCGUCAGCUCGUGUCGUGAGAUGUUGGGUUAAGUCCCGCAACGAGCGCAACCCUUAUGACUAGUUGCCAGCAUUUAGUUGGGCACUCUAGUAAGACUGCCGGUGACAAACCGGAGGAAGGUGGGGAUGACGUCAAAUCAUCAUGCCCCUUAUGACCUGGGCUACACACGUGCUACAAUGGAUGGUACAACGAGUUGCGAGACCGCGAGGUCAAGCUAAUCUCUUAAAGCCAUUCUCAGUUCGGACUGUAGGCUGCAACUCGCCUACACGAAGUCGGAAUCGCUAGUAAUCGCGGAUCAGCACGCCGCGGUGAAUACGUUCCCGGGCCUUGUACACACCGCCCGUCACACCAUGAGAGUUUGUAACACCCGAAGCCGGUGGCGUAACCCUUUUAGGGAGCGAGCCGUCUAAGGUGGGACAA
rnacentral:rRNA from 1 species